rnacentral:pre_miRNA from 1 species
CAGGUAUCCUCACCGUCCAACAAAAAAUGUUUCAAUUUUAUCAAAAUUUGAAUGUAUCUAGACAUAAUUUAGUGUAUAGAUGCAAAUUUAAUCAAAGUUGAGACAUUUUUUAUUGGACGGGAGGAGUAUAAU